AGUGAACGCUGGCGGCGUGCUUAACACAUGCAAGUCGAACGAGAACGGAUUAUAGCUUGCUAUAAUUGUCAGCUAAGUGGCGCACGGGUGAGUAAUGUAUAGGUAAUAUGCCUCUUACUCAGGGAUAACACAUGGAAACGUUUGCUAAUACCUAAUACUCUCUCUUAAAAUAAGUUAAUAAGGGAAAGAUUUAUUGGUAAGAGAUUAGCCUGUAUUGUAUCAGUUAGUUGGUGGGGUAAUGGCUUACCAAUACUAUGACACAUAACUGGUUUGAGAGUAUGUUCAGUCACGCUGGGACUGAGACACGGUGCAGACUCCUACGGGAGGCAGCAGUGGGGAAUAUUGCACAAUGGACGAAAGUCUGAUGCAGCAACGCCGCGUGGAGGAUGACACAUUUCGGUGCGUAAACUCCUUUUAUAUGAGAAGAUAAUGACGGUAUUAUAUGAAUAAGCACCGGCUAACUCCGUGCAAGCAGCCGCCGUAA
rnacentral:rRNA from 1 species